UACGUAGGGUGCAAGCGUUAAUCGGAAUACUGGGCGUAAAGCGUGCGCAGGCGGUUUUGUAAGUCUGUCGUGAAAUCCCCGGGCUCAACCUGGGAAUUGCGAUGGAGACUGCAAGGCUAGAAUCUGGCAGAGGGGGGUAGAAUUCCACGUGUAGCAGUGAAAUGCGUAGAUAUCUGGAGGAACACCGGUGGCGAAGGCGACGUCCUGGACCGGCAGUUGACGGCUGACGGCGCGAAAGCCAGGGG
rnacentral:rRNA from 1 species